UGCUCAGGACUCGCAAGGGAUUGCUGGUUCGGCUCGGACCCCCUCCCUCUCCCUGCUCAGCCCCUAAGGCAGCAAGCGGGUCCCAAAGAUAAGAGCUAUCAAGUCUCAGGGCUUCCCUCAUGUAGUGCCACAGAAAAUGGCUAAAAUUGCAAGAUGCAAUCAAAGAGACCCCUACAGAACCCCUACAGAACACUCCUAGAGCAAAUAGGGGAAACUGGAAGAUGGUUACUUAUACAUCUUCAAAAACCUCCAGACUCAGGAAACAGUGCCGAUUUUGGGAGCUCUUCAGGAUACCUCGGGACUAUUUGGUGUUUUAAUAUUAGCGCGUUUAAAGUUUGGACUGAAAUAUGUAUUUUGUUUUGGAAGGGGGAGGAAUAAGGGGAAGAUUCUUUGUUCUAAAUCGUGGGAAUUGUUAAGGUAUUUUAAUUCAAGAAAUUAAAUGGUUUAUUGAGCUA